UACGUAGGGUGCGAGCGUUGUCCGGACUUAUUGGGCGUAAAGAGCUUGUAGGUGGCUCGUUGCGUCGGGAGUGAAAACCUGCGGCUUAACCGCAGGCCUGCUUCCGAUACGGGCGAGCUAGAGUUCGGCAGGGGAGACUGGAAUUCCUGGUGUAGCGGUGAAAUGCGCAGAUAUCAGGAGGAACACCGGUGGCGAAGGCGGGUCUCUGGGCCGAUACUGACGCUGAGGAGCGAAAGCGUGGGGAGCAAACAGG
rnacentral:rRNA from 1 species